rnacentral:misc_RNA from 1 species
GAUGAAGAACGUAGCGAAAUGCGAUAAGUAAUGUGAAUUGCAGAAUUCAGUGAAUCAUCGAAUCUUUGAGCGCACAUUGCGCCCCCUGGUAUUCCGGGGGGCAUGCCUGUCCGAGCGUCAUUACAACCCUCAAGCUCAGCUUGGUGUUGGGCCCCGCCGCCCCGGCGGGCCCUAAAGUCAGUGGCGGUGCCGUCCGGCUCCGAGCGUAGUAAUUCUUCUCGCUCUGGAGGUCCGGUCGUGUGCUCGCCAGCAACCCCCAAUUUUUUUCAGGUUGACCUCGGAUCAGGUAGGGAUACCCGCUGAACUUAAGCAUAUCAAUAAGCGGAGGA